GACGAACGCUGGCGGCGUGCUUAACACAUGCAAGUCGAACGGAAAGGCCCUGCUUUUGUGGGGUGCUCGAGUGGCGAAAGGGUGAGUAACACGUGAGUAACCUGCCCUUGACUUUGGGAUAACUUCAGGAAACUGGGGCUAAUACCGGAUAGGAGCUCCUGCUGCAUGGUGGGGGUUGGAAAGUUUCGUCGGUUGGGGAUGGACUCGCGGCUUAUCAGCUUGUUGGUGGGGUAGUGGCUUACCAAGGCUUUGACGGGUAGCCGGCCUGAGAGGGUGACCGGCCACAUUGGGACUGAGAUACGGCCCAGACUCCUACGGGAGGCAGCAGUGGGGAAUAUUGCACAAUGGGCGGAAGCCUGAUGCAGCAACGCCGCGUGCGGGAUGACGGCCUUCGGGUGGUAAACCGCUUUCGCCUGUGACGAAGCGUGAGUGACGGUAAUGGGUAAAGAAGCACCGGCUAACUACGUG
rnacentral:rRNA from 1 species